AGCAGGCUUGUUCUGUGGUUUAAGCAUUUGACUGAAAAUCAAGACCUGGGUUCAAUUUCCAGCUUUGCUA
rnacentral:tRNA from 1 species